AGAACGAACGCUGGCGGCAUGCCUAAUACAUGCAAGUCGAACGAACACUUCGGUGUUAGUGGCGCACGGGUGCGUAACGCGUGGGAAUCUGCCCUUGGGUUCGGAAUAACAGUUGGAAACGACUGCUAAUACCGGAUGAUAUCGAAAGAUACAAAGUAUUUAUCGCCGAGGGAUGACGCCCGCGUAGGAUUAGCUUAGGUUGGUAGAAGGUAAAGGCUACAACCGAAGGACGACGUAUCCUUAGCUGGUCUGAGAGGAUGAUCAGCCAACACGUGGGACUGAAGACGACCGGCCAGACUCCGUACGGGAGCAGCUAGGUAAGGAAUAGUUGGAACAAGU
rnacentral:rRNA from 1 species